rnacentral:rRNA from 1 species
AUUGAACGCUGGCGGCAGGCCUAACACAUGCAAGUCGAACGAGUGGCGGACGGGUGAGUAAUGUCUGGGAAACUGCCCGAUGGAGGGGGAUAACUACUGGAAACGGUAGCUAAUACCGCAUACCAUCGGAUGUGCCCAGAUGGGAUUAGCUAGUAGGUGGGGUAACGGCUCACCUAGGCGACGAUCCCUAGCUGGUCUGAGAGGGUGACCAGCAACACUGAAACUGAGACACGGUCAAGACUCCUACGGGAGGCAGCAGUGGGGAAUAUUGAACAAUGGGCGAAAGCCUGGUGCAGCCAGGCCGCGUGUAUGAAAAAGGCCUUCGGGUUGUAAAGUACUUUCAGCGAGGAGGCGUUACUCGCAGAAGAAGCACCGGCUAACUCCGUGCGAGCAGCCGCGGUAAUAC